GGACAAAAAAUGCACAUUGUUGAAACGGGUGGAUGACAGUUAAGCAGUCCCCCCUGUUGUCUGAGGUGAAAUACCUGUCACCUGCACAGUUGCCAUGGUGCUGGGGUCGGAUCCCUGCAUUCCCACAGGAAGUGCUUGCCGCCAUGGCUACCAUCACUCGGAACGUAUAUCAUUUGGUGUUCAUUUGGUGUUUAUUUUGCUUCGUAAACCUGACAUCCUAUUCUGUGUAUUGUUGUUAUGCCUUUAUUUACAUAUUUGAGUAACAGAAAUAUACACAAAUCAUUUUGUUUUUACAAACCGAUUCUAACAUGCAUGAACUGUAUGCAUAUAUUUGAGUAGACUAAAUGUAAUGAAUCUGUGUGUCUUAUCAAAGGGAACACGCAUAACCUGUAGAACCGUUUGUAUGAGAAUCAUUUAUAUUAUAUGUAUGAGAAUGAUGUAUAGUACAAACAUGUGGUAAUUCAAUAAAACAUCGACAAAGACAA